UGAACAAAAACAUCAAGCAAAUG
rnacentral:piRNA from 1 species